rnacentral:rRNA from 1 species
CCCUUAGAUGUUCUGGGCCGCACGCGCGCUACACUGACUGACUCAACGAGUUUACAACCUGUGCCGAAAGGUAUGGGUAAUCUUUUGAAAUUCAGUCGUGAUGGGGCUAGAUUAUUGCAACUAUUAAUCUUCAACGAGGAAUGCCUAGUAAGCGCGAAUCAUCAGUUCGCGUUGAUUACGUCCCUGCCCUUUGUACACACCGCCCGUCGCUCCUACCGAUUGAAUGGUCCGGUGAAAUCUCGGGACGGCGGCUUGGUCGCUUGCGUCCGACUGCUGAAACUUGAUUAAACCAUAUCAUUUAGAGGAAGGUGAANUCGUAACA